CUCAAGGUCUGCCCACCAUGAACAUCAUAAUGUUAUGUCUUAAAGGAGCAUAUUCCCUUUGCAAGCCCUGGAGUUCAGUAAGCUGGAUUCUUAGCUAGUGUCUCCAUAAAGUGGACACGGAAAGGAAGAGAAUGUAGACACAUCAAAAGGACGCCUCGUCAGUUGAGAAACAAGGCAUUUUCAAGAAGCAGUAACAGAAGAUCAUGAGGAUGAACCAAUCCAGUAAAGACCCUUGUAUGUAGUUCUUAGUGGUUCAUUAGCGACCUUUAAGGAAGCAGUAUCAAUGGGAUAAUGAAUAAA
rnacentral:lncRNA from 1 species